rnacentral:piRNA from 1 species
UUAAAAUGCAAAACACUUGAA